CCUACCGAAACCAGAAUUCUCACUUUGACUACACGCACCAAGAGCUCCAGUGAAUGAAGUGGAAACAAGCUUGACACUGUUAUUCUUUGCAAGCAUAUACAAAUCCAAGCUAGAUUCACAGAUCCCACUACCGCCAAACCCUACAAUCAUCACAUUCCAUAGUACAACAUUCGAUUUAUCCUCAAUCUCCACAAAAACUCUCCACGCAUCUAUCGAUAAACCAAACUUGAAAUACAUAUCAAUCAAAGCAGUUUUCAAGAACGAAUCAGUAUC